CCUUAGCUACCCAUUUUUGAGACACCACCGUUCUUCUCCAUUUGCCGCCGCCGCGCCACCAUUUCCGUAGCCACCGUCACCGCAGCGCAACCGUCGCACGUUAUCGCCACAGAUCUGGUCGCCGUCGCACCUCGUCGCAUGCUGUCGUCGUUGCCUUCUAUCCACAGCCGAAAACGCAAAUGAAGAUGAUGAGUCUGAAGAUCAAUUGGAUGAAAUGUUUCGCAAUGUUGAAGAGGAGUUCACCGAUCGAUCAAACGAGUUUGAUGAAUUAUUGUAUGAUUCAAAAUUACCUUUGUGGCCGGGUUGUAGUAAAUAUACCCGAUUAUCUAUUGUAUUAAAAUUAUUCAACUUGAAAGUUGGGAAUGGGUGGAGUGACAAGAGCUUUACUGCAUUACUUGAAAUAUUAAAGGAUAUGCUUCCAAAUGAUAAUGAACUUCCGAAGAAUACAUAUGAUGCCAAGAUGACACAUGUUAACAUUCCGAUCACAAUGGAGUUAUGGCUUAAAUUCCCAAACGAGACUAAGGACAAUAUUUGGGAAGAUAUUCGGAGUACUUACGAUAUUCCCAACACAAAUGCUAUGAAAGAGCGUUGGAUACAAUAUGUGGGUCAACGGUGAAAAGAUUUUAAAUCAAAAUUGGUUAGCAAGUAUAUUUAUGGUGCUUUCUCACAUAAGAAUCCAUGUGAUGAAUACUCGUUCCUUGACCAAGUGACAUGGAAUGAGUUUGUUAAGGUUCAUACAGGUGCAGAAUAUGAGGCAAAAAGAAAAAAAAUCAAGAAAUACAAGCUAAGAAUGUUCAUCCACAUAGUUUAUCUUGAGGAGGUUAUCAAAGAUUGGAAAAAAUUAUGAUGGAUGAGAAGAUGAAAGAACAACAAGAAAUUGCAAAUUCAGAUCCAUCACAUACAAUUAGUCCUCCAUCUCCUCUACGUAGACACGAAAAGUGGAAUAUAGCAAGAAUGGAUAAGUCUGGAAAUUUUUGCAUUGGAGCGACUAGAAUGGUCGUAGAAAAAUGGAUUCUCUCGAGUUGCAAGCUUUUCAAGAAGAAUUCGUUGCGUCAGGAAGACAUGAUAUAUUACCUGUUGCGCUAGGUAUUGAUCGAUGAGCAUCCUAGGCGUGUUUGAGGCAUGGGAAGAGGAUAUGACAUAAAAAGUGUAUUUGGUCAUGCAAAACGUCCUCCUCAGACGCGUACAGAAGAAGUUAAGCCAAUGAUUGAUUCUGUUGUUGCUGUUGCUGAAGCACGAUUUGAAGCACGGAUUGCUGAGAUGAUGAAACAAUUUAGUAAUAUGCAGACUCCUAUUCAGCAAGCUGCACAAUCAAGACAAGAGGAUGUCAUAUGUGAACAUGUUUUACAACAAAAUGACAGUAAAAAAAAAAAAUUAGUUUCCCAAACCCUUUUGUUGAUUUAUCGGAUGUAAGUAAAUGUUUAUAAUUAAUCUUAUUAUUAUUAUUUAUUAAAAACAUUUUCUAUGAUUCUUUAUUAAUUAAUGCAGUUAGGAGCACGAUGUCAAUUGUACUUGGAAAACCCACUAGACGUCUAGUUGCAUUUGUGAUAGCUUACACUAGUGAAAAAGUUCAUGGGUUGCACUAAAUGUAGAUCAAGUGAAGGUGAGCAUAUACAAAAUCAUUGAUCCAAGUGCAAAGGUACCAUUC